rnacentral:snRNA from 1 species
ACUCACACCUUGCAGGAAAUACCAUGGUCAUGAAAGUGGUUUUCUCAGGGUGAGGUGCAUCCACUGCACUUCAGGUAUGCUGAUCCCUGUGAUUUCCCCAAAUGUGGGAAACUCAAUUGCAUAAUUUGUGGUAGUGGGGGAUUGCAUUUGUGCUUUCCCUGG